GGAAGGUUGCCAGAGAUGGUAAUGGCGCAGUCCCGAAAACUGACGGCGGGUAACACCGGCACAGGUUCGAUCCCUGUACCUUCCUCGA
rnacentral:tRNA from 1 species